rnacentral:rRNA from 1 species
CGAAUGCUGACAUAAGUAACGAUAAAGCGGGUGAAAAGCCCGCUCGCCGGAAGACCAAGGGUUCCUGUCCAACGUUAAUCGGGGCAGGGUGAGUCGACCCCUAAGGCGAGGCCGAAAGGCGUAGUCGAUGGGAAACAGGUUAAUAUUCCUGUACUUGGUGUUACUGCGAAGGGGGGACGGAGAAGGCUAUGUUGGCCGGGCGACGGUUGUCCCGGUUUAAGCGUGUAGGCUGGUUUUCCAGGCAAAUCCGGAAAAUCAAGGCUGAGGCGUGAUGACGAGGCACUACGGUGCUGAAGCAACAAAUGCCCUGCUUCCAGGAAAAGCCUCUAAGCAUCAGGUAACAUCAAAUCGUACCCCAAACCGACACAGGUGGUCAGGUAGAGAAUACCAAGGCGCUUGAGAGAACUCGGGUGAAGGAACUAGGCAAAAUGGUGCCGUAACUUCGGGAGAAGGCACGCUGAUAUGUAGGUGAAGUCCCUCGCGGAUGGAGCUGAAAUCAGUCGAAGAUACCAGCUGGCUGCAACUGUUUAUUAAAAACACAGCACUGUGCAAACACGAAAGUGGACGUAUACGGUGUGACGCCUGCCCGGUGCCGGAAGGUUAAUUGAUGGGGUUAGCCGCAAGGCGAAGCUCUUGAUCGAAGCCCCGGUAAACGGCGGCCGUAACUAUAACGGUCCUAAGGUAGCGAAAUUCCUUGUCGGGUAAGUUCCGACCUGCACGAAUGGCGUAAUGAUGGCCAGGCUGUCUCCACCCGAGACUCAGUGAAAUUGAACUCGCUGUGAAGAUGCAGUGUACCCGCGGCAAGACGGAAAGACCCCGUGAACCUUUACUAUAGCUUGACACUGAACAUUGAGCCUUGAUGUGUAGGAUAGGUGGGAGGCUUAGAAGUGUGGACGCCAGUCUGCAUGGAGCCGACCUUGAAAUACCACCCUUUAAUGUUUGAUGUUCUAACGUUGACCCGUAAUCCGGGUUGCGGACAGUGUCUGGUGGGUAGUUUGACUGGGGCGGUCUCCUCCUAAAGAGUAACGGAGGAGCACGAAGGUUGGCUAAUCCUGGUCGGACAUCAGGAGGUUAGUGCAAUGGCAUAAGCCAGCUUGACUGCGAGCGUGACGGCGCGAGCAGGUGCGAAAGCAGGUCAUAGUGAUCCGGUGGUUCUGAAUGGAAGGGCCAUCGCUCAACGGAUAAAAGGUACUCCGGGGAUAACAGGCUGAUACCGCCCAAGAGUUCAUAUCGACGGCGGUGUUUGGCACCUCGAUGUCGGCUCAUCACAUCCUGGGGCUGAAGUAGGUCCCAAGGGUAUGGCUGUUCGCCAUUUAAAGUGGUACGCGAGCUGGGUUUAGAACGUCGUGAGACAGUUCGGUCCCUAUCUGCCGUGGGCGCUGGAGAACUGAGGGGGGCUGCUCCUAGUACGAGAGGACCGGAGUGGACGCAUCACUGGUGUUCGGGUUGUCAUGCCAAUGGCACUGCCCGGUAGCUAAAUGCGGAAGAGAUAAGUGCUGAAAGCAUCUAAGCACGAAACUUGCCCCGAGAUGAGUUCUCCCUGACCCUUUAAGGGUCCUGAAGGAACGUUGAAGACGACGACGUUGAUAGGCCGGGUGUGUAAGCGCA